rnacentral:rRNA from 1 species
GAUGAACGCUGGCGGCGUGCCUAAUACAUGCAAGUCGAGCGAACAGACGAGGAGCUUGCUCCUCUGACGUUAGCGGCGGACGGGUGAGUAACACGUGGAUAACCUACCUAUAAGACUGGGAUAACUUCGGGAAACCGGAGCUAAUACCGGAUAAUAUAUUGAACCGCAUGGUUCAAUAGUGAAAGACGGUUUUGCUGUCACUUAUAGAUGGAUCCGCGCCGUAUUAGCUAGUUGGUAAGGUAACGGCUUACCAAGGCAACGAUGCGUAGCCGAACUCAGAGGGGGAUAGGCCACAUUGGAACUGAGACACGGUCCAGACUCCUACGGGAGGCAGCAGUAGGGAAUCUGCCGCAAUGGGCGAAAGCCUGACGGAGCAACGCCGCGUGAGUGAUGAAGGUCUUCGGAUCGUAAAGCUCUGUUAUUAGGGAAGAACAAAUGUGUACGUAACUAUGCACGUCUUGACGGUACCUAAUCAGAAAGCCACGGCUAACUACGUG